UCUUACGGCCAUACCAACCUGGCUAUGCCCGAUCUCGUCUGAUCUCGGAAAGCUAAGCAGGUUUGGGCCUGGUUAGUACUUGGAUGGGAGACCGCCUGGGAAUAUCAGGUGCUGUAAGAU
rnacentral:rRNA from 1 species